UACGUAGGGUGCGAGCGUUAAUCGGAAUUACUGGGCGUAAAGCGUGCGCAGGCGGUUCGUUGUGUCGGUGGUGAAAUCCCCGGGCUUAACCUGGGAAUGGCCAUGGAAACUGGCGAACUGGAGUGCGGCAGAGGGGGGUGGAAUUCCGCGGUGUAGCAGUGAAAUGCGUAGAUAUCUGGAGGAACACCGGUGGCGAAGGCGGCAUCCUGGACCGGUAUUGACGCUGAGGCGCGAAAGCCAGGGGAGCAAACGGGG
rnacentral:rRNA from 1 species